UACGUAGGGACCGAGCGUUGUCCGGAAUCAUUGGGCGUAAAGAGCGUGUAGGCGGUCUUUUAAGUCCUGCGUGAAAUCCUGCGGCUCAACCGCAGACGGUCGUGGGAAACUGGAAGGCUAGAGUGCGGGAGAGGAGAGUGGAAUUCCCGGUGUAGCGGUGAAAUGCGCAGAUAUCGGGAAGAACACCCGUGGCGAAGGCGGGUCUCUGGGCCGAUACUGACGCUGAGGAGCGAAAGCGUGGGGAGCGAACAGG
rnacentral:rRNA from 1 species